ACAGUCACAUUUUAUAACUUAUUAUAUCUGAAUUUAGAGUGAUUAUACGCUGUGGAUCUCAGGGCCUAAUGUUAAUUCAUACUUCGGGGAAAUGAAGAGUAUGAUAAAUUCAGGCCAAUGCCGGCACCUCCCUGCUUUUCUGCAUGGUUUGAGAAUUGACCCAGCAGUUCAGUCCAGUUUUGUGUAAGGAAAGCUCACAGUGGCCGGGUGAGGAAGCCAGGGGCUGAAUACUGAAGCCACACAAAGCGUGGACUCAGCCCCUCCGCGGGAGACAAAAAAGAUGGAUGUGGACGAUGAGAGAUGCCCUUGACAUCGUUCUGUGAACCUGAGAUGCUUCCAGGGGCAGGAGAUGUUGGUGGCCUGUGGCCUGAGCAGGAUGUGUCUUCCCUGAAUGACAGGCCUAUGAUCCCAUUAACAUAGAAGCAGAAAAUAAAAAAUUAAGACACUU
rnacentral:lncRNA from 1 species